ACACCGCCCGUCGCUACUACCGAUUGAAUGAUUUAGUGAGGUCUUCGGACCGACACGCGGUGGCUUCACGGCCGUCGGCGUUGUUGGGAAGUUGACCAAACUUGAUCAUUUAGAGGAAGUAAAAGUCGUAACAAGGUUUCCGUAGGGGAACCUGCGGAAGGAUCAUUAACGU
rnacentral:rRNA from 1 species